rnacentral:rRNA from 1 species
GGCUCAUUAAAUCAGUUAUCGUUUAUUUGAUAGUACCUACUACUUGGAUAACCGUGGUAAUUCUAGAGCUAAUACAUGCACACAACCCCAAACUUCGGAAGGGGUGUAUUUAUUAGAUAAAAAACCAAUGCCCUCUGGGCUUUAUGGUGAAUCAUGAUAACUUAACGAAUCGCAUAGCCUUGAGCUGGCGAUGGUUCAUUCAAAUUUCUGCCCUAUCAACUUUCGAUUGGUGAGUAGUGUUCACCAAUGGUAUCGACGGGUAACGAAGAAUUAGGGUUCGAUCUCGGAGAGGACGCCCGAGAAAUGGCGUGCACAUCCAAGGAAGGCAGCAGGCGCGCAAAUUACCCAAUCCCGAUUCGGGGAGGUAGUGACAAUAAAUACUGAUGCAGGGCUCUUUUGGGUCUUGCAAUUGGAAUGAGUACAAUUUAAAUCCCUUAACGAGGAACAAUUGGAGGGCAAGUCUGGUGCCAGCAGCCGCGGUAAUUCCAGCUCCAAUAGCGUAUAUUAAAGUUGUUGCAGUUAAAAAGCUCGUAGUUGAAAUUUGGGCCUGGCUGACCGGUCCGCCUCACCGCGUGUACUGGCUCGGCCGGGCCUUUCCUUCUGGGGAAGCUCAUGGUCUUUAUUGACUGUGUGGGGAACCAGGACUUUUACUUUGAAAAAAUUAGAGUGUUCAAAGCAGGCCUUUGCUCGAAUACAUUAGCAUGGAAUAAUGGAAUAGGACGGCUUUCCUAUUUUGUUGGUUUCUAGGAGAGCCGUAAUGAUUAAUAGGGACAGUCGGGGGCAUCAGUAUUCAAUUGUCAGAGGUGAAAUUCUUGGAUUUAUUGAAGACUAACUACUGCGAAAGCAUUUGCCAAGGAUGUUUUCAUUAAUCAGUGAACGAAAGUUAGGGGAUCGAAGACGAUCAGAUACCGUCGUAGUCUUAACCAUAAACUAUGCCGACUAGGGAUCGGUGGAUGUUAUUAUUUUGACUCCAUCG